GUUUUUUUAGCUACAUCUGCCCCUGCAUUCUCUGUAAAGUCUUCCAGGAAUAUUCUAAAUGCAGAGGACAACCAUGAUUGCCAGCCACAUUAGAGAUACAUCCUUGGACCCUGUCUAAUAGCUUAAAGCACAGAUGACUCUCGGUGUGCUCCAAGCUCAUAUACCAGCAAGCCAGACACUCAGCUUGGAAGAAACUACCAGAGGACUCAACCCAAGGUCAGCCCACCACAGGCUUGUCCCAGUCCCAGGCUUGUGCCACUACCCAACCACCCUGCCCAGUGCAUGUACAAGAUGUGCUAAGAAGGAAGCAGAUAUGGGGCAAGAAAUGUUUUUUCUGGGGCAGUUAUAUCAGAUUCAGAGCAGCAUCCUUGCACAAAGCUUUGAACCUAAUUUCAUGGACUCAGCAGCAAAGUUUGCACUGGUAAAGAGAGCGCAAAACGGACAGACUAUGAAGAUCCCUGGCUUGGCAGGACAGGCAUGGAACAAAGUGGAAAAACAAAGGCUGAACAGGCCCAGCUCCCUCAGCCUUUCCCCGUGAGAGAUGCUCCAGUCCCCUCACCACCCUUGUGGCCUCUGCUGGACAUGCCCAAGGAGCUCCAUGUCUCUCUUGUGCUGAGGAGCCCAGACCUGGACACAGCACUCCAGAUGCUGUUCCACCAAGCAGAGUAGAGGGGCAGGAUCACCUGCCUCAACCUGCUGGCCACACUAUUCCUCAUGCACCCCAGGACACCAGUGGCCUUCUUGGCCACAAAGAAACUGCUGGCUCAGGGACAGCUUGUUGUCCACCAGGACCCACAGGUCCUUCUCCUCAGAGCUGCUCUCCAGCAGGUUGGCCCCGAUCUGUGCUGGAGCCUGAGUGGUUCUUCCUGGAUGUGCUGAACCCUGAAUUUGCCUUUGUUGAACUUCAUUAAGUUCCUCAGCUACCGGAGAAGUUAUUUUUUUCUUCAUCCUUUUUUUUUUUUUAACUUUUCAUUUGCCUACUUUAUCAUAAAACAGAAGCCAUUGACACACCAAAGAUCAUCCAUAGCAGAGUAUUUCAUCCAGGCCUGUAAGAAGGACGGUAGGACUGGCCAAAGGCAGCCAGCCACCCAGUGAUCAAAAACUGCAGCAUGACUUAAAGUAGAAAGGUCAUUGUUUUGAGCUCUCCUCUCGCCAAAUAAAACUUCAGUUCCCAGCUUCCCAGCUAGAUGCCUGCUUUUCUUCUCUAGUUAGGCUUCCUCUAUUAUAAAAUUCAAUUGAACUGAGUCAGCUUCCAUCAUUCUCAAGACAUAAUUCAGACAGCCUUCUCCUGCUCUGACACUGAGACCCCAUAGAACUUCAUUUCCAGUGUGUAGAUUUUUCUGACUGAGAACCCAAGAAACAAAGUUUUGUGACAAUUCAGAAUAUUUUUUAUUACUGUGGACUAUGUCAUAAUUGCUGGAAAGAAAACUUAUGACAUAUUCAAUCACUUCAUAUUUACCACUACAUUUUUUUUUCAGUUAUUAAAUUUCACACUGAAGUACAUAAAAGUUUCUUCACAGAAAUUCCCCAGAUAAAAAUAAUUUCAUGAGGAAAAUACCAUUUCUCACUUUUCCACCUCUGUAGAAGAUUCUGAAGGAACAAGUCACCAAAUAUUUUCAGUAAUAUUUUUUUCAUUUAGAGUGAGAUACAUAGCAAUACAGGGGAAAACCAGAAAAAUAGAAUACCAAUAUUUGCCUUCAAUGUUUUCUGCUCCAACUGAACAAAUAAUUUGGUGUUGUCUCUGAUACUUUGUGCAGAAUCCAAAUUAGACCACUCUGUUUAUUGACCACUUGACUAUUUGAAUGAAGCCAGAGAACAAUCUGCAUGCUGUAACACUCAUCUUCCUGUAUGGGUUUAAUCAGCACUGAAAUAUCUGAAUUACUUUUGCAUUAUGUUUGCUAACUGAAUUUAUCUCCUGAAAAUAUAAUUUUUGUCCAUUAAAUACCUCAUUCAUUGUAAAUCAAGAAUACUCAUGUGUUUUAUCCUGAUGUUAUUUCAAUUUACACCAGUAAAAAAACAGCAGAAUUUAGCUAACUAAUGGCUGAACAGGUCUGCUACUGCAUUUGGUGUUACUGAAGGCUUGAUAGUGAAGUGUCUUCCUA
rnacentral:lncRNA from 13 species